rnacentral:misc_RNA from 1 species
ACGAAUUUUCACUGUUUCUUUUUUUCCAUCAGACUCGAACCACGGGUUUUCUAAGUAUUAGAAAAUCCAGUUGCACGAACGAGAAAGAGAAAGGGUGUUUCAUAGAAGCGGCGGCAAGUGGCUCUCUCGCUCUAUCGCUUGGAUAUGAUAGGAACACCGAUGAACAGAUACCAAGGAACGAUUCUAGACAUCGAGACAGUGAAGAAGGUUCAUGUGCACCAGAAAUGUCUGCAGGCACGUAACCAACUUUACGUGUAAUUCUCCAAUCAGUUGAUUUCUCGUAAUACAGCCUCGUAAUCUACGCAAUUCCAUUUAACAUAUUCUCCUCGCCCUAGUUAAGCAGAAGAGCGUUACACGAGCAUAUCGACACUCGGCCAGGUCGGCGCCAAUGCAACCACAUUAAUAAGAGGAAUUUCCAACAAGAAUUUGCGACGAUUCUAGAGGAAAUGCGAGGACACAAGCUGGCGACGUGCAUGGUACGAUUCGCGUAGGUGUCGUUACGGUGGCUGACGCGUGAAGUCAACAAUAGCCGUCGUUGAUGAGAGAGAAGAAGAGAGAGACGGUUCAUUAGCUGAGCUGUCUCUCAACCUGGUGGCUACAAUUCAAGGUUUGUAUCGCGCCGUCAAAUUGAACGAAGCUCAUAUCAGUGAAGCGACCUAUAACAAGUCACCAUUGAAGAAUUAUCGCGUGGAAUCUACCGCAUUCUUCUAUAAUAAAUUGCGAUAAACGAACGGUACAG